UACGUAGGGCGCAAGCGUGUCCGGAAUUUAUUGGGCGUAAAGAGCUCGUAGGCGGUCUGUCGCGUCGGAUGUGAAAGCCCGGGGCUUAACCCCGGGUCUGCAUUCGAUACGGGCAGACUAGAGUGUGGUAGGGGAGAUCGAAUUCCUGGUGUAGCGGUGAAAUGCGCAGAUAUCAGGAGGAACACCGGUGGCGAAGGCGGAUCUCUGGGCCAUUACUGACGCUGAGGAGCGAAAGCGUGGGGAGCGAACAGG
rnacentral:rRNA from 1 species